GGGAGCUUGCUCCCUGAUGUUAGCGGCGGACGGGUGAGUAACACGUGGGUAACCUGCCUGUAAGACUGGGAUAACUCCGGGAAACCGGGGCUAAUACCGGAUGCUUGUUUGAACCGCAUGGUUACAUAAAUGGCUUCGGCUACCACUUACAGAUGGACCCGCGGCGCAUUAGCUAGUUGGUGAGGUAAUGGCUCACCAAGGCAACGAUGCGUAACCGACCUGAGAGGGUGAUCGGCCACACUGGGACUGACACACGGCCCACACUCCUACGGGAGGCAGCAGUAGGGAAUCUUCCGCAAUGGACGAAAGUCUGACGGACCAACGCCGCGUGAGUGAUGAAGGUUUUCGGAUCGUAAAGCUCUGUUGUUAGGGAAGAACAAGUACCGUUCGAAUAGGGCGGUACCUUGACGGUACCUAACCAGAAAGCCACGGCUAACUACGUGCCACCAGCCGCGGUAAUACGUAGGUGGCAAGCGUUGUCCGGAAUUAUUGGGCGUAAAGGGCUCGCAGGCGGUUCCUUAAGUCUGAUGUGAAAGCCCCCGGCUCAACCGGGGAGGGUCAUUGGAAACUGGGGAACUUGAGUGCAAAAGAGGAGAGUGGAAUUCCACGUGUAGCGGUGAAAUGCAUAUAGAUGUGGAGGAACACCAGUGGCGAAAGCCACUCUCUGGUCUGUAACUGACGCUGAGGAGCGAAAGCGUGGGGAGCGAACAGGAUUAGAUACCCUGGUAGUCCACGCCGUAAACGAUGAGUGCUAAGUGUUAGGGGGUUUCCGCCCCUUA
rnacentral:rRNA from 1 species